GUCCUCCUUCUUUUCUAAAAAUGACUUUGAGACAACUAAAUGCCUAAAACCCAAUCUUUCAUCUGCAAAUUCGUUCUCCUCCUUGACUCCUUCCUCUUUGCCGUCAAAAAUACAUGGAAACAAGUCGAGAGGGAGUUUGAAGCUUUAAUCGAAAACCCAAAAUUCUCAGGUGUUUUCUGCGGAUGCCCAGAUUUUUAGUAGCAUUGUUGGUGGGUGCAGAGGCGUUAGUAGCCUAAUUGCCUGCACCUAAAUGACUAGUUAUUGGCGGUUUUUUCUGGGCAAGCAUCUCCAAGAACUGAACUUGCUGUGCUGCUCCUUGAUGUUGUAUCAAGUCCUUGCUCAUAUCUGCAAAGGGGAAGGAAGGAGACAUCAACUGGUCUUGAAGAAAAUGAUGUUCGAUUAGCUUUACAAGAGACUGGUAUUUAUCUGGCUUUUGAUUUGUUUGUGUUUGUUAAAAUCUUGUACGGAUUGUAAUUUUCCUGUUCUGUUUGUCAGGCCUGAACUUUCUAGGAGAUUGUAAUGGUCCUUUAGGUUUUGAUGUAUAUAUGCUCUUUGUAAUGAUUCUCUAGGUUUUGUUGUAGCUCUAUCGGUAAUUUUGAUUCGUUGAUGAAACUGAUUAGAUUAGAAGUGGAAAGGGAUUUGCUGAUGAUGGAUCCAUUUGUUUGUUGGCCUUAUGCAUAUUCACAAAGUUGACACUUUGGUAUCCUACAAGAACGACGAAUAGGAUGAGGAGUAGGAUAUGAUCCAUUUGCCGAUUCCUCGUUUGUUGGCUCUAUGCAGAUUCACACUACAAUACUUUUGGUGUUGUGAAUAUUUCUGUUUACAUUUUGUUAAAAGUUGAUGAUUGAUGUACUAGUACUAUUUGCAAGAUGUUGUCAGUAACAUAAAUAUGUAAAAUUUGUGUGGAAUGUGAGUUUGAUGCUUUUGUAUUCA